UCACAUUGAAACACCAGUUCCUGUAUGCUCACCAAAGUUAAGCAAUGUCAGGCCUGGCCAGUGCCUAGAUGGGUGACUGCUUGGGAAUACCAGGUGUUAUA